GAACUGUGUUGUCAGAGUUUUCAUGUUGGGAAUUUUCGAACCGACUGAAUAAACAGACGAGUUUCGAAAGCGCGCUCGACGAGGUUUUGGUGUGGUGCGGCAUUUUUGGAUUUCAUAUCGUUCGCUCUUAUUUAUUUUUCAUACUAAAAGUACUAAAUCAUCAUGGGUGGCUUAUCUCAAAGACCAUGGACCCCAACCAAAAGACGUGGACCUAUUGCUGCUGAAUACAACAGUCCAGGGCCGGCGUGUGUAUCCUUGCCAUCAUACAUCGGCAAAAAGCCUUUAGAAGCCAAAACAGGUAGCGCACCAGCAUUCAGUUUCGGUGCCAAAGCGAACGCUAAACUCGAUAGUGUUGGACCCGGCCCUGGACAAUAUAAUGUUUCCGGUCUUAGUGCAAAAGGUAAAGACAGUCCUCCCGCUCUCAGCUUGCACAGCAGACCCAAAGAACCAAGAUCGGAGAACUUUCCUGCUCCCGGAGACUAUAAUCCAGACAAGGCCGAGAAAGUAAUCCACGACAACUCUCCCAAGUAUACGUUUGGUUUAAAAACGAACGUAGGGAAGCCAUUAGAUACUCCAGCCCCUAAUGCUUAUAAACCCUUUGUACGUACUGGUAGCAACAGGUACUCGUUUGGAAGAAGAACGCCCUUAUACAAAACCUCAGAUAUACCUGCACCAAACGUAUAUAAUGUACCCGAGUCUGAAAAAAGUUUGCACGAUCAUGCACCUAAAUACAGUUUUGGAGUAAAAGCACCCAUUGAAAAACCAUCUGACACACCUGCUCCGAAUGUUUAUAGAAUACCAUCAGGAGAAAAAUUGGAUAAUACGCCAAAAUAUAGUUUUGGUGUUAAACCUGACUUGGUUAAACCAUUUAAUACUCCUGCUCCCAAUGUCUACAACAUUCCAAAAGCCGAUUCUGUUUUACUCGAUAAUUCUCCAAAGUAUUCUUUUGGAAAUAAAGUUAAUUUGGAAAAGCCUUUGGAAACUCCUGCGCCAAACGUGUACAACAUACCAUCAGUUGUGGGAGACAUAAAAGGAGCCCCAGCGUACACCAUCUCUGGAAGAAACAAAGAACCUAUCGAUGAGAGAGUAAAGAAUCCAGGUCCGGGGCAGUACAAUAACGUUGAUCCAGAAAAUUAUAAAGUACACUCUCCAGCCUAUACAAUCAGUGGAAGAAUAAAUAUUCCUAAAGAUGACACUAUUCCUGGACCAGGGGUAUAUUCUCCAGAAAAAGUUGUGUCCCAUUUAAGGCAUGCUCCUAGCCAUUCGUUUGGCAUACGCCAUUCUGCGUAUUUGGGCUCCUAUAAUAUGUUCCUUCAGAAAGAUAAAACUUGCUUGCUUUUCUAACACGUCUUUCAAAUAAUAUUUUCUAGGGACCUAUGGUUAAAUAUAAUUGUUUUACUAACAUUUAUCCUUUUAAAUGGUUGUGUUAGAAUACCCUCCAGCCCACAGUUUUGGAAUCAGACAUUCUCAAUAUGCCGAACACUACUAAAAUCUAAAGAGGUCAAAUCAAACGAAGAUAGCUGAUAUAACGAGUCGACUGUAGUCUUAAUUUAUUAAACAACAACAAAAAGGAAAAGACACAGAAUUUUUGUAUUUUUAUAAGAUGGUACGUCGUAGGGAAGAGUAACUUAUUCCCUUAAUUUUUUAUAGAAUAGGUUUAAAAAAUAGUUCUCGCUACUGUGAAUAAUUUCUACGCUUCAUAAAUACGUAAAUACUGUAUUAACAAUUUCCUAGAUCAGUUUUGUUAAAUUAACCUGUUUGGAACAAAAAAAAAAGAUAAAAAUAUAUGUAAGUCAGCUUACAAAAAAUUAAAAAAAAUAGUUGUAAUACUCUAUAAAAAUCCGAAAACAAAGAGUUAUUUUAACAGAACGUCCCAACAAUAAAAAUUGCUUAUUAAUCAUAAAUAGGCAAGCUUCUCGGACACAAGCAAUGUUUUACUUUACUUGUUUCAGAUAAUUUACACAAUGUUAAUGCCGUUUAGUUUGAAUAAAAUAUUUAAAAAUU